UGUUCUCACGAUUGUUGAACCGUGUCUCUCAAAUCUCCUCUCUACAUACGUUUCCCAUGUUUGGUUUCAAAGAAAAUGAAGAAAAAUGCAGCCUAGGUCAGCCAACGAAGAACACGGUUGUUCUUCAUGGGAAAGAUCAAGUAUAUGUUAAAAAA